rnacentral:lncRNA from 1 species
UAAACUACUAUACAUCUUCAUCUUAUCCAAUUAAAACUAUGGUGAUGAUUAUUUAUGAUUUAUAUAAAUACAUUAAAAUCCUUUUAAUUAUCAUAAAUUUAAUAAAUUUAUAUCUUACUAAAAUAUAAAUAAUAAAAUAUUUAUACUUAUACGAAAUUAAAUAUAUUUAAAACUUUGAAACUAUUUAUAAAAGUUUUAUACAAUUUUAUAAUUUUAUUUUAAUUUUUUUUAACCUUGAAUGGUAAUUU